UCCCCGUUAUCCUGGGCAGUCCUUCCAGAGUUCCCGGCAUGACCCGUUGGCAACUGGAAGCAGGGGUUGCGCUCGUUGCGGGACUUAACCCAACAUCUCACGACACGAGCUGACGGCAGCCAUGCAGCACCUGUGUCCAGGUUCCCUUUCGGGCACCCCUCCAUCUCUGGAGGGUUCCUGGCAUGUCAAGGGUAGGUAAGGUUUUUCGCGUUGCAUCGAAUUAAUCCACAUAAUCCACCGCUUGUGCGGGUCCCCGUCAAUUCCUUUGAGUUUUAACCUUGCGACCGUACUCCCCAGGCGGUCAACUUCACGCGUUAGCUGCGGUACAGAGAAAUCGCUUCCCCAACACCUAGUUGACAUCGUUUAGGGCGUGGACUAC
rnacentral:misc_RNA from 1 species